GACAGAGGGGGCAAACGUUGUUCGGAAUUACUGGGCGUAAAGCGCGUGUAGGCGGCUUGGCAAGUCGGAUGUGAAAGCCCUGGGCUCAACCUAGGAAGUGCAUUCGAAACUGCCGAGCUUGAGUUCUGGAGAGGAAGGCGGAAUUCUCGGUGUAGAGGUGAAAUUCGUAGAUAUCGAGAGGAACACCGGUGGCGAAGGCGGCCUUCUGGACAGCAACUGACGCUGAGACGCGAAAGCGUGGGGAGCAAACAGG
rnacentral:rRNA from 1 species